UGGUCGUACAAGAAGAACAGGGGGCGAUCCCCACACAUCAAAACCCUAAAUCUUCACCAAACUUGCAAAUUGAAGGCUCAAUCCAAGUCAAAAUCGAAAAUCAAGCAUAGAUUAUUGAUCCCCAUUGCAAGAGGGUUGUAAGGUAUGUAAAAUUUGAUGUUAAUUCUCUGUUUGAAAUUCUCAUGAAAUUGGGAAAUCUGAAAUUUGAUGAUGCAUGUAUGAUAUGUAGAUGAAAUAGGAACAUAGUAGUGUCUAGGAGUAAACCCUAGACAAGUAUAUGUUGAAAUCAUGCUUAGCUCAAGUCUUUGUUGAUACCAAAUUCAUGUAUGAGAUGUUUUUAGGGUUUUGAUUUCAAAAGAAUAGUGUUAUGAUGUCAAGAACAAGCUUAAACUGAAAGCUGAAUUCAAACGAUUCUUGAUCAGAAUUUACAGCCGAUAUGUAUUGGCUGUAACCUGGAUAAAACCUGAUAAAAUCAUGUGUUUCUUGAGUCUAAAAUGUAAUUCCAGGAAAUAUCUUUAAAACCCCACUGGAAUCGCAUUUUUUCGAUGAAAAUUGAGCGUUUUAUGAAUUUUUCCGUAUCAAAGGUUCAAGCUGCGUUUUCUGGCAGAAUUUGCAGCCCAUUACGAAUGUCAUAACUCAAUUUAGGAAUUGAGUUAUGAUCUCAAAUUUGUACUGUAGAAAGUGCUAAGUGAUUAGAAAAAUCACCAAUUGGAAUUUCGUCAAUCGGAUAAAUGAGGAAUUUUAAAUGAAUUUUUCCGUAAGCUGCAGUCAGAAGUGACGAAUCUGAUUGCAGGUUAGUAAAUGAAUUUUCACGAAUUUUUGAUAAAGAGUUAGAUCUUGAAAUUUUAACUCAAGGGCUAACCCUUCGAGAGGUACACCACAUAAAAAAAUCAUAAUUUUUGAGGACUUGUAAACAGGUUAAACAAGUCACCAAAAACAGCCAAUUUUCAUUGAUAUGAAAUGCCUAAAUGAAAUCGCGGCUUACUAGUUAGUAUGUAAAAAAUUGAUUUUUUGUUAAGAGUUCGGAUGAAAUAUGCCUAAGUGAGUUCAAAGAACCAAAUGUGCAUAUGAAUAUGUUGGUAAGUCAAUUGACUUUUAAAAGUCAAACUAACCAAUGAUAAAGUCAAAUAGUAGUUUCGACAUAGAAAAUACGUGAGGUGGAAUAGUCGUGAAUUGAAAUGACUAAUCUAACCACCUUGUGAAUGAUGAUAGUUUGUCGCCUAACGAGCUAGGUGGAGGCUUGGGAUAGAAGCAGUCAAACGAAUCAAGCACGAGAAGAAAAGCAUAUUCGGAUGCGAGGAAAUAACAUAAGUAUGCGUUGCUUAAACUAGAAAGCUUUAAAGCAAAAGUUAUGUAAACGGGUCAAUACCUUGACCCGAGCCAGGUACACUUUGGGAUGCCGGAAGACGAUCAAGCUCAACGAAGAACCGAACACACUAUAGAUACACGCUUCCGCACUUUGCUAUGUUGUAAAUUUUAAACAACGAAUUCAACCACGUGAUGUAGAAUAACUUAUGAUUUGUAAAAGUUUUUAGUA
rnacentral:lncRNA from 1 species